rnacentral:rRNA from 1 species
GUGGGGAAUAUUGGACAAUGGGCGCAAGCCUGAUCCAGCAAUGCCGCGUGGGUGAAGAAGGUCUUCGGAUCGUAAAGCCCUUUCGACAGGGACGAUGAUGACGGUACCUGUAGAAGAAGCCCCGGCUAACUUCGUGCCAGCAGCCGCGGUAAUACGAAGGGGGCUAGCGUUACUCGGAAUUACUGGGCGUAAAGGGCGCGUAGGCGGCUCUGUUAGUCAGGCGUGAAAUUCCUGGGCUUAACCUGGGGACUGCGCUUGAUACUGCAGGGCUUGAGGCCGAGAGAGGGUGGUGGAAUUCCCAGUGUAGAGGUGAAAUUCGUAGAUAUUCGGAAGAACACCAGUGGCGAAGGCGACUCACUGGCCCAAUACUGACGCUGAGGCGCGAAAGCGUGGGGAGCAAACAGGAUUAGAAACCCUGGUAGUCC